AACAUACGAAAGUAUAUUUGGCUAGCUCAUGAGCCAAUUUAUUCCCAUCCCUCUUAGUAAAUUGAAAUUUACACUUUAUAAAAAAGACCUUUCAUAUUUCUAAUGCCCAACACUAUCUUUCCCAUGUAAGAUCUAGAAACAGAAACACUUAUGUUCACCCUUUUUACAAGUUUAUCACAGUCACUCUGGAACUACUGCCCCUAAUCCCCAUGUAUCAAUUUCAGACAAAUUAGCAUCACUAUUAGCUUUUACAUAAUCAGCUUCUGGUUUGUUCCAUCUAAUUUGUGCGUUUCGGUGUUGGGUGUGGUGUUGUGUUUGAUUUAGAAUCAUGCAACAAGGAGAGAUAAUUUUUUUAUGAUGUUGUUGUUUAAAAGCACCAUGUUGUUGUUGUGCUGUUUAUGUGCUGAAUUUGGAGAAAUCCAUUUUUUUUAAUUCAUGAUGAUGAUGAUGAAAAGAAUCAAAAAGGGUUGAAUUUGAUUUCUUGAUGUGUUGUUGCUGCUAUUGAUGAUGAUUUCUGGAUUUUUGUAGAAAAAAAAAAUCAGGGUUUUAAUUCUAUUUGAAGGUUUAUGUAUUUUAAUUUAAUGAAGUUUAUUGUUGUUUUAGUUUGAGUUUUUUAUAUGAAGUUUUGUGCUUCUGAUUUUUUUGCUUUCCUGGGUAGGAUUGAUGAAGGAUUGAUGAAGAUGAAGAAGAUGAUGAGAGAAGAAGAUGAAGAAAAUGAUAAAAGUUUUAGGUGUUAGUGGUUCACAGGAAAGUACAAUAGACCCUACAUAAUUCAACGGUCCUCUUUUAAAGAAUAAAUCAAAUGGUUAAAAUUAAAAAAUUUAAUACGGCCUAUGGUGAACCACCUUUAAAUAUGGUUCACUUUAGACUUUUGAUGUUAAAAUCUAACGGAGAGGACCAAAAUAGUAAACGACAAAAGAUUUAUGGGACCAAAUUGAGACACUUUAUAGUUAGGGGACCAAAAUGAAAUCCAAAAAUAAGUUAAGGGACCAAAGUAUGUAUUAAGUCUAGAAUUUAACACACACACCCACCCAAGUCAUUUUUUGUUCAUCAUUAACUCUAUAUUCUUUGCAUUUCGUUGACCUACGCAGCUCAUAGAUCAGCUAAAGCGGCCACAUCCUCAGCUAGUUUUUAAAUUUUGAAAAAAACAUUAGAUUGUUCUGAAC
rnacentral:lncRNA from 1 species